CUCCAGAUGUUGCUGAACUACAACUCCCAUGAUUCUAUCAAUGAAAUAGAUAGGCUGAGAAUCAUGGGAGUUGUAGUUCAGCAACAUCUGGAG
rnacentral:miRNA from 1 species